UACGUAGGGGGGCAAGCGUUGUCCGGAAUCAUUGGGCGUAAAGAGCGUGUAGGCGGCCCGGUAAGUCCGCUGUGAAAGUCCAGGGCUCAACCCUGGGAUGCCGGUGGAUACUGUCGGGCUCGAGUCCGGAAGAGGAGUGUGGAAUUCCUGGUGUAGCGGUGAAAUGCGCAGAUAUCAGGAGGAACACCGGUGGCGAAGGCGGCAUCCGUGGACCGGCAUUGACGCUGAAGCGCGAAAGCUAGGGGAGCAAACGGGA
rnacentral:rRNA from 1 species